GACGAACGCUGGCGGCGUGCUUAACACAUGCAAGUCGAACGAUGAAGCCUUUCGGGGUGGAUUAGUGGCGAACGGGUGAGUAACACGUGGGCAAUCUGCCCUGUACUUUGGGAUAAGCCUUGGAAACGAGGUCUAAUACCGGAUAUGACUGGCCUUCGCAUGGGGUUGGGUUGAAAGUUACUGGCGGUACAGGAUGAGCCCGCGGCCUAUCAGCUUGUUGGUGGGGUAAGUGGCCUACCAAGGCGACGACGGGUAGCCGGCCUGAGAGGGCGACCGGCC
rnacentral:rRNA from 1 species